ACCUGACUGCUAUCGGAUUGAUACUAAGCCAUGCGAGUCAUUGUAGCAAUACAAGGCAUACGGCUCAGUAACGCGUAGUCAACCUAACCUAUGGACGGGAAUAACCUCGGGAAACUGAGAAUAAUGCCCGAUAGAACAUUAUGCCUGGAAUGGUUUAUGUUCCAAAUGAUUUAUCGCCUUAGGAUGGGACUGCGGCCUAUCAGUUUGUUGGUGAGGUAAUGGCCCACCAAGACUAUUACAGGUACGGGCUCUGAGAGGAGUAGCCCGGAGAUGGGUACUGAGACACGGACCCAGGCCCUAUGGGGCGCAGCAGGCGAGAAAACUUUGCAAUGUGCGAAAGCACGACAAGGUUAAUCCGAGUGAUUUCUGCUAAAGAGAUCUUUUGUUAGUCCUAGAAACACUAACGAAUAAGGGGUGGGCAAGUUCUGGUGUCAGCCGCCGCGGUAAAACCAGCACCUCAAGUGGUCAGGAUGAUUAUUGGGCCUAAAGCAUCCGUAGCCGGCUCUGUAAGUUUUCGGUUAAAUCUGUACGCUCAACGUACAGGCUGCCGGGAAUACUGCAGAACUAGGGAGUGGGAGAGGUAGACGGUACUCGGUAGGAAGUGGUAAAAUGCUUUGAUCUAUCGAUGACCACCUGUGGCGAAGGCGGUCUACCAGAACACGUCCGACGGUGAGGGAUGAAAGCUGGGGGAGCAAACCGGAUUAGAUACCCGGGUAGUCCCAGCUGUAAACUAUGCAAACUCAGUGAUGCAUUGGCUUGUGGCCAAUGCAGUGCUGCAGGGAAGCCGUUAAGUUUGCCGCCUGGGAAGUACGUACGCAAGUAUGAAACUUAAAGGAAUUGGCGGGGGAGCACCACAAGGGGUGAAGCCUGCGGUUC
rnacentral:rRNA from 1 species